rnacentral:sRNA from 1 species
UUAGGAUGGUCAAGUCAAACGUAUCUCUUCAGCGUAUUAUAACUUUGAAAGUAUGUAGCAUAUAUCUAAUUGUCAGUCCAGCAAUAGCCCAAGUCUGUGACAAUGGUUUCAUGGGGCCACAGUGUAAAUUUAAAUGCCAUGACAACUGCAAUUUAUCCUACAAAUGUGCACGAGGCUAUUUUGGACCUUAUUGUCAGUACGUCAACUUAGUCACGAUUGAUGGCGAUGUGUUGACAGAUCAUGAGCUCAGCACCUGCAGACCAU